rnacentral:rRNA from 1 species
UCCUACGGGGGGCAGCAGUGGGGAAUAUUGCACAAUGGGGGGAACCCUGAUGCAGCAAUGCCGCGUGGGUGAAGAAGCACUCCGGUGCGUAAAGCCCUGUCAGCAGGGAAGAAAAUGACAGUACCUGGACAAGAAGCCCCGGCUAACUACGUGCCAGCAGCCGCGGUAAUACGUAGGGGGCAAGCGUUAUCCGGAUUUACUGGGUGUAAAGGGGGCGCAGACGGCAAUGCAAGCCAGGAGUGAAAGCCCGGGGCCCAACCCCGGGACUGCUCUCGGAACUGCAUGGCUGGAGUACAGGAGG